UAGGGAAUUUUCGUCAAUGGGGGCAACCCUGAACGAGCAAUGCCGCGUGAGCGAAGAAGGUCUUCGGAUUGUAAAGCUCUGUUGGACCGGGGAAAAGGAAGGAAAGAGGAAAUGCUUUUCUUUGGAUGGUACCCGGCCAGAAAGUCACGGCUAACUACGUGCC
rnacentral:rRNA from 1 species